UUGCAGUAAUUCAACUCUUAUGCAGACUGAACCACAUCUGUAAAAACCGUUUAGAAUCUUAAUAUAUUCAAUCUGCUACUUCUUUCAUUGAAACUCAUAAACCUAAUAUUUGACACAAAAUCUAUUACUUCAUUCAUUUCACGUGUCACCAUAUAAAUGACAGAUGAUUAGGCGUUUCUGAAACGACUCACUUUCCAAGACGAGUCGCAAUACUAAUUUUCUUCUAAGUAAAAUAUGAGCCGAAACGACACCCAUUAAUUUUCAUAUGGCUCACUCGUUCCGAACAAGCCUUUCAACAAAAUAAUUCGAGUUCGAUUCCCGUGUGAUUAUAUCCCAUUGGUAACGUCCUAAAACAAUUCACUAAAGCUUCAUAUUUUGGAUAGUUACAAUAGGGCAUGGUGGACGUACUAGUUUAUCCAGAAAACUACAAAAGCGCCAUCCGAGUUCUCAUAGCUGAACACGGUUGUUUCAUGAAGUUUUUUACUGAAAACUACAAAAGCGCCACAUUCAGCUAAAGAUAAUUUGCUGACAAGUGGUGAAAACGUCAACAGUAUCCAUGCCCUAUGUGUUUGGUGACUGGAACGAUGUACACACUGAAUGACUCCUAUGAUGAAUUUGCAUACAUUAUGUCUAAUCUACAUUUAGGCGAUCUAUCAAUUAAGCGCCUAACUUUCCUCAUAGAUUCUUUGUAUACUUCGAGGCGUUGUUCAGUUUCAACUUGUUAUCGGUGCUAGUAAAGCCUCUAUACUUGAAUAGAGCACGCACGAGGGCCACUGUCUGGGGUAAUUAUACUUGCUAUUGGUUUUUCUACACAAUUAUAGUUCAUCUAUUCGAACACAGAUGUCGCAUAGAUGUCAUGAUUGUGAAUUGAACAAGUGACGUAUAAAAACAUCGUUCUAGUUGUUUUCUCGAAACCUGCUAAAGCCAAUAGAGCGUUUCUUGAGUCCUAAUAAGGUCGAGAGCAGUGAGUACUCAUUUAUGAUCAGGAAAAACCCUUUCAAGAAUGUUUAUGACAGGAAUCGAACCCGAGCCUUAUAGGGUACGAGUCCAUCGCUCUAUCGAUUCAGCUACCUAGACAUAAAAAGGCUGUUAGUGCGAAACCACGAAAUAGUUGAAAAUGAUCACUUACGGCUAUAAUAAUGUCUUCUUCGAAAUAUUAUCUAAACAUUGGAAACUUAUCUUUUGUGUAAGGGUUGUUUAUGACAGACGUCUCCUCGUUUAGAGAUGGGCAAGUGCAAGUUUGACAUGUGAGUGACAGAAAUUAUGAGAUUUGGCUUAUUUUUCGGUGGCAUCGACAGUAACUAUUAUAAUAAAUGAAAAGAAAAAUUGUCUAACUAUCUAAAAGUAUAAAUGAAUAAUAAACUAUUUUUACCAUAAAUAAACAAAUAGAUGUUAAUUGAAUAUGAAAUUAUGAAAGUAAAAAAAGAAAAUUUAAUAAUAUUUGAACUAACACACACUGUGAAUUUUAUUUAGAUGAAAUGAACUUACUAACACACACACACACACAAACAGCUUUUUUAUAUAGAAACAGCGAAUUUUCGUAUAUUAUAUGAAAGAAAGUAAUUGAAUUAUAAAUUUAAUAAAAAUGAGAAGAAAUUAUUGAAAUAAAACAAAAAUUAAAUUUAAAAAAUAAUUUUAAAAAAACCAAACAAUCUAAUUAGAUAUUAGAGACAAGAUAAUAUUGACGAAUUACUUUACUGUUCCCAGAUUGUAUGUAAAGAAACAGGGCCGAACUGGCUACAAAAAGACGCUCAGGUUAAAUGUAGGAGAAGACGCGCUUGAAAUGUACAAAAGACGUCAAGAAGCUCUAUUGAAAGGCGACAAUAUAGCAAAUUCCAUAAAAUUACCAAAGGCGCAUUUGUGAUUGUCCAAGACGCCUCACAUGGAAAGUCCGGGCCUGAAAGAAAAGGACGUAAAAAACCUAUUGCACGUCAUAAAUGAUACUAAAGUCAGUCGUUCCCAAUAAGCGUAGCUCUGCACUCGUCUACAGACAUUGACAUUUCAAAUUAAAUUUUGAUGUCAUGUUUGAUCUGUCACAGUUUUCAUUAGCCCAAUUUCCGCGCUGAUAAAUUUAAUGUCAACAGCCGGACCAACAACUAUCCCCGAGCUCAUUAUAAACUUACACUGUGCACUGGGGUACGUCUAUAAGACUUAAAUAUGAUGAGAUCCUCAAAGGAUCUCAUAUUUUUCGAAAUCUGAAAAACUCUCGGCCCAAACGAAUUUCUUUAAGAUCUCAAGAAAGAUUCUUUGAAAAUGUUAUAGACUCUGACAGGAUUGUGAAUUUUCAAUUGCUUUUUACAACCUUAACUCUCGGAUUUAUGUUGUUUUUUUUUUGCCUUGUGUGAGGCCCACAAUGUGUCGAAGGUCUUCGUCGUUCCGGACUUUUGAGACAAAGUAAAACAAUGAAAGUGACUUGUCAAAAUGAACAAAUAAUACAGUUUUCUGCUCAGUUUUAACGUCACACAUAGCAUAGCACUACUGCUAGCAUUAACCCACAUAUGUCAAACGUCAAAAAUUCUCCAAAUGUUGGUACAUCACAUCAUGCGAUGAUUCUCCACGACGUGAUGAUGUGACGAAUUUUGUUACAUGUAAAAUUAUCAGAAGUGGUGGAUCUCAGAAAAUGGUGAUUACGUCACAUUCAUAAAGUUUACAGCCCUGGAUAGGACUCCUGUCUUAACGAAACAAAUACAAAGCCUAGUCUGAUAUCAUCAGCCUUUAAAUAUUUUCUAUGUUAAUGCUGUGCGCAUUGCUUUGCAUGUAGUCUCAAAACGAUAGAUAUUCUUUAAAUUCACUCUAGAUAGUAGGACCACUAUUUCGAUCAGUUCGAAAAUGUCAUUUUCAUAGCUAGGACCCGUCGGUUAUGAAAAAUAUUAUUCGUACCAAGGACUAUAAGUCUUUUUUAGCGUAUUCGAUGCCAGACCUCGCCUUCGGCUCUGUCUGGAAACCUCUCACACGCUUUAGACCUAGGUACGAAAUAUACUAUUCUCUUAUCAGCGACAUGGUUUCUGCCACUGUUUCGAUGUGAGAGACCGUGCAAUGCAAUUUCAUAAUUCCUCAAAAGUUUGAAAGAAUUAUUUUUGCCAACAUCUCAUCAGGCCAUGACGACAGUGGCAAGGAAACAAGGCUAGUCAUAUCCUCUUUCGAAGUUUCGUUCUUCGUUCGUUCUUGCACAACACUCGUGAGUGUUUUGUUGUCAUUUCUCUUCAGUCCAUGGCGAAAGUGGUACUGGUACAAUACUCAUAAUACCUACUAUACCAUUUUGUACACGAACAACUCAAGCGAAUAAAUGAAAUUUCCGAACUUGCUAGCUCUUUUAGAGUUAGGACUGAUGUUUAAAAAAAAGGCUCGUCGAAUUUUAAUGCGAUAAACAACUGGGAACUAAAUUGGACUUUUAGUUGUUACUUUUCUUACACCAAAUCCGAAACGCUUUCUUUACAAAUCUUAAAAUAAAAUUUACAAAAUAUUAUCACCACUGACAACACCACAGCUCUAUUGAAUAAUAAUUUUUAAUUAAAAAAAUAAAAUAAAAUCGGCCUCUCGUCACGGAAAUAUUUUCUUUUUCCGUGUUUAAUAGUCUUUUUCAGCGCAGCAUCUUCACACCAAUAUAUUCGCUACUUUUAAAUAUAACUUAAAAAAAUUUAUACAUAAAAUUGAUCCCCAAUGAUAAUAUUCUAUUGAUUUAAAACUUAAAAUAUAUUUUUUUACAAUUAAAAAGAAAUGGAAAAUGGAAAUCGUUCAAAAAUAUUUUUAACCUACAAAUGGAGGAUGGACAAAUAUAUGUAUGAGAAUGUUGUAAUUGUAAUUAAAAUUUAUAGAAAUAUGUUAAUAAUAUAUUGGUCUGCCAAUGAAACUUUUUUUCUUUUAAUUUUUUUGUUUCGUUUUUUUUUUAAGUGAACAUUCAAUCGGCCCAAUAAAUAUGUUACCCCAUAAUACUGUACAUUGUAGGGUAAAUAUAUAUGUCGCUUCAUUUUUUCGCUAAAGUGAUUAGUUGGUAAAAAAAAAUAGUUUUUAAAGAGAAAGUAAUCAGAUUUAAAAAAUUAAAAUAAGAAGAAAAAAAACAUAAAAAAUUAUAAUUAGUAGGCCUAAGAUUUGCUAAUAUAAAUUUGAGUGAAAACAAAAAUUAUAAAAAAAAAUAAUUCGACAAGCAUCCAAAUUUAUUUAAAAAA